UGACCAUAAACAGGUUGGUUCACAAAGUGGCCACCAUCUGUGUGUUUGUUUUGUAGCAGGAAGAACCAGCAGCAGCUCCAUCAGUGACACCUCAGAUUCAGGCGCUGUCCUGAGGCCAGGAUUCACUUCCUCACCGUUCGACCGAGUCAGAAAAACUUCACAAAGCGACGCCCAAACAGAAACCAAAAGUGUGAGGCCUCCUCAGAUUGAAGGCUGUUGGUUCUCCACUUCUGCAGACUCUCUGUGGUGAUUUAAACAUUCUAAAGAAGACGACUGAAGAACACAGAGAUGUUUGGGUUUGUAAACCACGUUACCAUGGAGACAAACCAACAUCUAGAACACAAAGCUGCCAUCAAAUAAACAACAAACAGCCUUCUGCAUGUCA